rnacentral:rRNA from 1 species
UCGAACGGAGCUGUUUUGAUGAAGUUUUCGGAUGGAUUUAAAACAGCUUAGUGGCGGACGGGUGAGUAACGCGUGGGUAACCUGCCUCACACUGGGGGAUAACAGUUAGAAAUAGCUGCUAAUACCGCAUAAGCGCACGGUUCCGCAUGGAACAGUGUGAAAAACUCCGGUGGUGUGAGAUGGACCCGCGUCUGAUUAGCCAGUUGGCGGGGUAACGGCCCACCAAAGCGACGAUCAGUAGCCGGCCUGAGAGGGUGAACGGCCACAUUGGGACUGAGACACGGCCCAAACUCCUACGGGAGGCAGCAGUGGGGAAUAUUGCACAAUGGGGGAAACCCUGAUGCAGCGACGCCGCGUGAGUGAAGAAGUAUUUCGGUAUGUAAAGCUCUAUCAGCAGGGAAGAAAGUGACGGUACCUGAAUAAGAAGCCCCGGCUAACUACGUGCCAGCAGCCGCGGUAAUACGUAGGGGGCAAGCGUUAUCCGGAUUUACUGGGUGUAAAGGGAGCGUAGACGGCAAGGCAAGUCUGAAGUGAAAGCCCGGUGCUUAACGCCGGGACUGCUUUGGAAACUGUUUGGCUGGAGUGCCGGAGAGGUAAGCGGAAUUCCUAGUGUAGCGGUGAAAUGCGUAGAUAUUAGGAAGAACACCAGUGGCGAAGGCGGCUUACUGGACGGUAACUGACGUUGAGGCUCGAAAGCGUGGGGAGCAAACAGGAUUAGAUACCCUGGUAGUCCACGCCGUAAACGAUGAUUGCUAGGUGUAGGUGGGUAUGGACCCAUCGGUGCC